GAAAUAGCAGAUUAAAGAAUCUCCAAUUCCAUGGAUGGAUGUAGCUUCCAUUGCAACUGCAAGCACGACUUCUGACAAUCUCCAGGUUCUUGUAGCCAGCACAAAUAGAAAUAACAGAUUAAAAUAUCACCAAUUCCACAGAUUAAAGUGUUUUGGAUGUCGAGCAAAUUCCAAACACUUCGUCAAUUCCAGUUUAGCAUUUGGACAAGUGUUCCAUAGCUUCAGUGAUUAUCUAAGCAACAAAGGAGAAGCUUCAAUCAAGCGAAAGCAAAAAUCUUCACUUGUAUCCCCACCUAAUGGGAGCUCCAUUUACUUGAGAUUUUUCAGUAUAGGAAAUCGUGGGAAAUCCUCCGACUCGCAUAGAUGGGUUGGGAGGACCAGUGCAAGCGACUCCAGUUGAGGAACCAAACUCCAAAGAUCAAGGAGAUUCUCUCUUAUAAGUGCAUCCCAG
rnacentral:misc_RNA from 1 species